rnacentral:sRNA from 1 species
AAUCAGUCAGCCCCGAAGCAGUAGUUAAGCCGGAGGGCUCGGAAGAACGGCACCUUUUCUUUCUCGAAAAAGUUAUAUGGGGGCUGAAUGAGCUUCUGGAGGCUUGUUUACCGUCUUUUAUUGUCACACAGGAAAAGAAACUGCCUUGUCUCCCUUCCGGGAAUUCUCUAAGACUGUUCUUACGUCUGUUGCUAGAUUAUCGUCCAAAAGUGUUAAUGCCCAAGUGACUGACAUCAACUCCAAGGGACUGGAAUUGAGGAAGACUGUUACUACAGUUGAGACUCAGAACUUGGAAGGCCUGCAUCAUGAUGGCCAAUUCUGCCAUAAGCCCUGUCCUCCAGGUGAAAGGAAAGCUAGGGACUGCACAGUCAAUGGGGAUGAACCAGACUGCGUGCCCUGCCAAGAAGGGAAGGAGUACACAGACAAAGCCCAUUUUUCUUCCAAAUGCAGAAGAUGUAGAUUGUGUGAUGAAGGACAUGGCUUAGAAGUGGAAAUAAACUGCAUCCGGACCCAGAAUACCAAGUGCAGAUGUAAACCAAACUUUUUUUGUAACUCUACUAUAUGUGAACACUGUGACCCUUGCACCAAAUGUGAACAUGGAAUCGUCAAGGAAUGCACACUCACCAGCAACACCAAAUGCAAAGAGGAAGGAUCCAGAUCUAACUUGUGGUGGUUGUGUCUUCUUCUUCUUUUCCCAAUUCUACUAAUUGUUUGGGUGAAGAGAAAGGAAGUACAGAAAGCAUGCAGAAAGCACAGAAAGGAAAACCAAGGUCCUCAAGAAUCUCCAACCUUAAAUCCUAUGGAGUCUUGCUCCAUAGCCCAG